rnacentral:rRNA from 1 species
AGCAGCCGCGGUAAUUCCAGCUCCAAUAGUGUAUAUUAAAGUUGUUGCAGUUAAAAAGCUCGUAGUUGAACUUCGGGGUUUACCCAUUGGUCAGGCUUAAUUGUCUGUACUGGUGAGAUAAAUCUCUACCUUCUGAGGAACUUUCAUGCCAUUUAUUUGGUGUGAUGGGAAAUCAGGACUGUUACUUUGAAAAAAUUAGAGUGUUUAAAGCAGGCUAACGUCUGAAUACAUUAGCAUGGAAUAAUGAAAUAGGACGGACUGAUUCUAUUUCGUUGGUUUCUAGGGUCACCGUAAUGAUUAAUAGGGAUAGUUGGGGGCAUUAGUAUUCAAUUGUCAGAGGUGAAAUUCUUGGAUUUAUUGAAGACUAACUACUGCGAAAGCAUUUGCCAAGGAUGUUUUCAUUAAUCAAGAACGAAAGUUAGGGGGUCGAAGACGAUCAGAUACCGUCGUAGUCUUAACCAUGAAACUAUGCCGACUAGGGAUCGGACGAAGUUAAUUUUAUAAUGACGCGUUCGGCACC